rnacentral:rRNA from 1 species
GCCUAACACAUGCAAGUCGAGCGAGAAAUUUUCUAGCUUGCUAGAAAAUGGAAAGCGGCGAACGGGUGAGGAAUAUGUUGACAUCUGCCCCCAAGUCAGGGAUAGCCCAGGGAAACCUGGAUUAAUACCGGAUAGUCUCUACGGAGUAAAAAUUUAUUGCUUGGGGAGGAGUCUUCAUUCUAUCAGCUUGUUGGUGAGGUAAUAGCUCACCAAGGCUAUGACGGAUAACUGGUCUGAGAGGAUGAUCAGUCACAAUGGAACUGAGACACGGUCCAUACUCCUACGGGAGGCAGCAGUGAGGAAUCUUCCACAAUGGACGAAAGUCUGAUGGAGCGACACCGCGUGAAGGAUGAAGGUCUAACGAUUGUAAACUUCUUUUCUGAAGGAGCAUAAUGAGAGUACUUCAGGAAUAAGGGACGGCUAAAUACGUGCCAGCAGCCGCGGUAAUACGUAUGUCCCAAGCGUUACCCGGAAUCACUGGGUGUAAAGGGUUCGUAGGUGGGGAAAUAAGUUGGAUAUGAAAGACCGAAGCUCAACUUCGUGUUUGUCUCCAAAACUGUUUUCCUAGAAUCAGGGAGAGGUAAGCGGAAUUCUAAGUGUAGGGGUGCAAUCCGUAGAUACUUAGAAGAACACCAAAAGCGAAGGCAGCUUACUGGAACUGUAUUGACACUGAGGAACGAAAGCGUGGGUAGCGAAAAGGAUUAGAUACCCUUGUAGUCCACGCCCUAAACGAUGAUAACUAAGUGUUGGGCAUUUGCUCAGUGCUGAAGCUAACGCGUUAAGUUAUCCACCUGAGGAGUACGGUC